rnacentral:rRNA from 1 species
UAGGGAAUCUUCCGCAAUGGACGCAAGUCUGACGGAGCAACGCCGCGUGAGUGAAGAAGGAUUUCGGUUCGUAAAACUCUGUUGUUAGAGAAGAACAGCGCAUAGAGUAACUGUUAUGCGUGUGACGGUAUCUAACCAGAAAGCCACGGCUAACUACGUGCCAGCAGCCGCGGUAAUACGUAGGUGGCAAGCGUUGUCCGGAUUUAUUGGGCGUAAAGCGAGCGCCGGCGGUCAAUUAAGUCUGAUGUGAAAGCCCCCGGCUCAACCGGGGAGGGUCAUUGGAAACUGGUUGACUUGAGUGCAGAAGAGGAGAGUGGAAUUCCAUGUGUAGCGGUGAAAUGCGUAGAUAUAUGGAGGAACACCAGUGGCGAAGGCGACUCUCUGGUCUGUAACUGACGCUGAGGCUCGAAAGCGUGGGUAGCAAACAGG